rnacentral:rRNA from 1 species
AGUGAACGCUGGCGGUAGGCCUAACACUUGCAAGUCGAACGGCAGCACAGUAAGAGCUUGCUCUUACGGGUGGCGAGUGGCGGACGGGUGAGGAAUACAUCGGAGUCUACUUUUUCGUGGGGGAUAACGUAGGGAAACUUACGCUAAUACCGCAUACGACCUACGGGUGAAAGCAGGGGAUCUUCGGACCUUGCGCGAUUGAAUGAGCCGAUGUCGGAUUAGCUAGUUGGCGGGGUAAAGGCCCACCAAGGCGACGAUCCGUAGCUGGUCUGAGAGGAUGAUCAGCCACACUGGAACUGAGACACGGUCCAGACUCCUACGGGAGGCAGCAGUGGGGAAUAUUGGACAAUGGGCGCAAGCCUGAUCCAGCCAUACCGCGUGGGUGAAGAAGGCCUUCGGGUUGUAAAGCCCUUUUGUUGGGAAAGAAAAGCAGCAGGUUAAUACCCCGCUGUUCUGACGGUACCCAAAGAAUAAGCACCGGCUAACUUCGUG